rnacentral:lncRNA from 1 species
GGAGCAUCAUCAACCUGAACAAUGCAUCUCUGGCUUUCUAGUACACAGAACAGACUUGGUGUGUGAAUCCCAACAGGGACAAGGAGAAAGAGUGACAGCUGAUGUCAGAUAUGUAUACAUGCAUGUGCCAUGGGACACAUGUGGAGGUCACCUUCUAGGACUCUGUGUUCUCCUUCAACCUUGUGGUGUUGGGGAUGGAAGUCAGACCCUAAAGCUUGACAGUAAGUGCCUUUACCCACUGAGAUAACUUGCUGGUCCUCCAAUCAGUAAAUUUAAG